UGGGUGCAUGUCUCGGAUGAAUUUGAUAUAAAGAAAAUAUCUAGGGAUAUCAUUGGGGAUGAAAAGAACGGUCAAAUGGAGCAAGUACAACAGCAACUUAGGAACAAAAUUGAAGGGAAAAAGUUUUUGCUUGUGUUAGAUGACGUGUGGAAUGAGGAUCAUGAGUUGUGGCUUAAAUUGAAGAGUAUGUUCAUGGAUGGAGGAAAAGGAAGUAUGAUAAUUGUUACAACUCGUAGUCAGACUGUGGCAAAAAUAACGGGCACACAUCCACCCCUUUUCCUAAAAGGUUUGGAUUCACAAAAAUCCCAGGAGCUAUUCUCUCGAGUGGCCUUCUGCGAGUUGAAAGAACAAAAUGAUUUGGAGUUGUUAGCUAUAGGAAUGGACAUUGUUAAGAAAUGUGCUGGCGUUCCCCUUGCCAUAAGAACUAUUGGCAGCCUUUUGUUUGCUCGAAAUUUGGGCCGGAGUGACUGGCUUUAUUUCAAGGAUGCCGAGUUUUCAAAGAUAGAUCAACACAAGGAUAAAAUCUUUGCAAUCCUUAAACUGAGUUAUGAUCAUCUUCCGUCGUUUCUAAAAAAGUGCUUUGCCUAUUGUUCACUGUUUCCAAAAGGUUUUAUGUUUGAAAAGAAGACACUGAUUCAGUUAUGGGUAGCUGAGGGGUUCAUUCAACAAUCAAAUGAUAUUAGAUGUGUAGAAGAUGUUGGUCAUGAGUACUUCAUGAGUUUGCUGUCAAUGUCUUUCUUUCAAGAUGUUUCUAUAGACGAUUGUGGUGGAAUAAGUACCUGUAAAAUGCAUGACAUUAUGCAUGAUCUAGCGCAACUAGUGACCGGGAAUGAAUAUGUCGUGGUUGAAGGAGAAGAACUAAACAUAGGAAACAGAACACGUUAUUUGUCAUCUCGUAGGGGUAUACAACUAUCACCAAUCUCAUCAUCUUCCUACAAGUUAAGGACAUUUCACGUGGUCAGUCCACAAAUGAAUGCAAGCAAUCGUUUUCUUCAGUCAGAUGUUUUUUCCUUCUCAGGCUUAAAGUUCUUGCGUGUGUUGACACUUUGUGGGUUGAAUAUUGAAGAAAUCCCAAAUAGUAUUGAAGAAAUGAAGCAUUUAAGAUAUAUUGAUCUAUCACGGAACAAUGUACUUAAAAAUCUUCCUCCGACCAUUACUAGCCUACUGAACUUGCAAACUCUAAAACUUUCUGAUUGUUCUAAGCUUGAAAUAUUGCCAGAAAAUCUCAAUAGAAGUCUCAGGCAUCUUGAGUUAAAUGGUUGCGAGAGUUUGACAUGUAUGCCAUGUGGGCUAGGACAGUUGACUGAUCUUCAAACACUAACACUUUUUGUACUGAACUCUGGAAGUACAAGUGUAAAUGAGUUGGGUGAGCUAAACAACCUGAGAGGGAGAUUAGAAUUAAAAGGGUUGAAUUUCCUGCGAAAUAAUGCUGAAAAGAUUGAAUCUGCAAAAGUACUUCUUGAGAAGUGACACCUUCAACAAUUGGAAUUGCGAUGGAAUCAUGUCGACGAGGAUCCUUUUGAGGAUGAUCUCUCAUCACCAAACAAAAAUUUGGUGGAAGAUGAGAUCAUUUUUCUAGGCCUGCAGCCACACCACCACUCACUUCGAAAACUAGUUAUAGAUGGGUUUUGUGGCAGCAGGUUACCAGACUGGAUGUGGAAUCUCUCAUCGCUCUUGACUCUUGAGUUCCACAAUUGCAAUAGUUUGACAUCACUGCCCGAAGAAAUGAGUAACCUUGUAUCUUUGCAGAAACUUUGCAUUUCUAACUGCUUAUCAUUAAACUGGAAUAAAAUCUCUAGCAUCCGAGAAGUUAAGAUCAUCAGGCGCGGAACCAGGUAUUGUUGUUUGCUAUUUGCACAAAUAAUAUUACUUUUAUGUUAUUUGCACAUGAUUUUUGUCUUGCAGCUCCUCACCCAAGAUGCCAAGACUAAAUCACACUCACACGUCUCAUAAAAGGACUUUAAAAUUCAAUGCUAUUAAUUUUCUCAUAAAAGGACUUUUAGUACUAUUAUUUUCUUUGAUAGUAUAAAUUUAAUAUUAAUAAUAAUAAUAAUUAAGAAAGCUAAAAUUUUGCACCCUAACGCAGGAUUCUGAAUACGCCACUGAAGUUCAUUCCUGGGAGACCAUCAUUACUCAAGUAUUUUACUUGAGUCAAAAUCUUUCCUCAAUCAUGGAGGUAUUUCUGAAUCCACUCUCUUAUAUCCAUCAACUUUUUAUGACCUUUGAUGAUGGUACAUUUUGCAAUUAUUGAGUUAGCUUUCUCUUGACCUUUAUGCCUAACUUUUGCUUUGAUGUUCUGCAUUUGUUCUGAUAUUCAAUUUUUCAUCACUUGGAUCAUUUUGGUUUUGAUAUUUGGCUGGACUAUACAUACAUCCGUUUAGAUAAAUGGAUUCCGUGAUUUUAUUUAUUAUAACAUCAUGUGUCUAUUUUCUGAUUUGGAAUUUAUUUUUUUGUUUCUCCAAAAACUAGUAGCUUUUAGGUUUGCAGUUAUUGUAGCUACUAUGUUGUUUUUUUGGAAGCUAUUUAAACCUGAAAAAACUAGUUUACCCAAUAUUCCUUUUUUAUAAUGUUACCUCGGUGACAUAGAAAAUGUGUAUCUGAUUAUUAGUAGCAAUAUUCCUUUAUUAUUGCUUUCUCUUUUUUGAUGAUUAAAUGUUGGCCAAUAACUACUGCAGGAACAAGGGAGUUGCUAAACUGUUCUAAGGAGCAAAAUGGUGGUCAAUAAAUUGGUAACACUGUCCAUGAUGACUUCACUGUUUUAUGAAAAUGUGUCCAUUGUUCCUUGGAAGAUCAUCAAUAAUUGGAAGAACUCUAUCUCUCUCCUACAUAUUAUGCACUUUAGAGUACCUCAUAUUUGGUCCCCUUUGGUUCUCUAUGUAUAUUUGUUUUUGUGAUUAAUAUGAUAUUGUAGUUGUUGCAAGAGAUUGGUUUUUCCUUUGGUGUCAACCUAGUUGGGAUCAUUGGUUUGGACAAUGAUGUAUUUUCAUUCCUUCAUUUUUAUAAACAUAAAUCUUACUGGGCUAUGUAAAUUUGGCAUAACUAAACCAGCGAAACAAACUAUCAUUAACAUGUUGUGAACGGAUUGCCAUCAUUGGAUUCAGAUUUAACAGCAUUCAUUUCUUACCAGGAACAAUUAAUAUAUGAAGAAGACACAUUGACCACUAAAACUAUUUGAAAAAUAGCAGCUCAUUUCCAGUGUAAUAGAAGUGGAUACACAUGGGUAGGAACUUUGUCUACAUAUAUAUACAUACAUUACUGUGUUGUAUACGAUACACAUAGAUUCAUGUGCGACGCACAAGUGCGCGGACAAGUUUAUAUAUUCAAAUUUUCAGGACUGUUUUGAGAGAAAAAGGUGUGACACAAACCUAGGGUUGAUCAAAGGGGAUUCUUAGGGUUUCUAAAGCUAGGAGUAAAGUCAUUUUGGGUCACAUUCUAGGGUUAAGAAACAAUCAAAGCCACAUGAAGAGAUUUGGGGUAAGGGCAGAAAUUAAGGUUUAUCAUCAUAAGUUAAUUUCAUGUGAUCUGGAUAUCUCUUUGGAAAGAAACUCUUUGAUAUUAAAUUGGAGAAUUUUUCAGCGUCUGAAGCAGAGUUAUGAAAUGGAGUGGUUUAGAACACAAACACAAAGAGAAAGAGAGAGACACAAAACAAUUUAUACUAGUUCAUCUCACUAACCGAUAGUAGUCUAGUCCCCUUGCACUUUCAAGAGAUUUUCACUAUAAUCACUAAAUAUUACUGAUGUAGUAUCAAAAGUAAGUAUUUUUGUUAUCGUCUCCACAUGGACUAGUGCGAUAUUCUAAGCCGUUCAACAAUCAGUAUCGUUCUGAGCUAAGGAUUCGAUAUUUUUUUGUUUCAUGAACUAUAAAACUACAGACUUGUAAGAGAUAUGAGAGUUAACAAGGAAAUGAUUAUGUUGGGAUUAAACUUCAUCAACCUACAUAUACGUAUUCUAGGAUUAGUGUUGCGGAUUCUAAUUAUCAAUUGAUAUUAUCACAUAUUGCUCAACAACAUCAUUCGUGUCCAAUUGAUGUCGUGAUUUCUAUUGAGUCGUCUAAUCGUCGAUUUCCCAAACUAUUAAACUUUCCAAUAGUCGAUUGUAUCGUUGUAUAGUUGACUUUUCAAACUAUACAAUGAUACGAAAGCUUUAAGUUCCAAUAUUCAAAGUGAUUAUCAAACCUAAGUUCCAUGUCUAGAACCUAAGCAUUGAUAGAAGAUUAUUCUCAACUAGAUUCAAAAUGUAUUUUUCAAUAACAAUUUAAAUCCAUAGGAUAGAAAUGAAAAGCAAGAAUAACAUCAAUAUCUUAAGAUAAUUUAGAAUCACACAACAUCCAAAUCAAAGGGAAUACAUACUAAUAGAGUUAACUACAUUUAAUCCCAACAAAAAGAGUUUAGCUACUCAUUGUCAUGGUAACCUUACAAGGAGAAAAGAAGAGAUGGAAUGGAAGCAAGCCAUGAUGUCUCAAUGAUCUUGUGAAUCCCUUCAAUCCUUGUGCCUCUUGCUCAUUGAAGUUCUCUUUGUGUUUUCCCUAUUUUCUCUCUUCCUAAAGUGGCUUCUGCAUAUAAGUUAAACAAUGAAUGUCGGUCUCCUGCAUAUAAGUUAAGCACAUUGAGGUAUCCUCACAUUUAGGCUAGUUCUAAGUGGUUCACAAUUAAACACGUUAUUGCGAAGAACCAAAUGAAGUAAAAUUUGUGCAAAGUACUUGCUUCAGAUUCAAGUAAACACCUAGAAAAGCAAGAAACUUAUACCUUGGCUUUGUGCAAUUCAAACAAUAUGUAUCAUCACCAUGCACCUGAUGUGGAUUUGCUGGCCUAAGCUCUUAUUAGAAAGAUAUGAGAAAACUUAGUUUGAUCUAAAUUAAAACCAUAAGGUUGCAGGAGCUUGUGGUAUACCAUAGUGCAAAAGGGUUACCUAUGACAUAGUCUUUAAUCAAACAAUGCAAAAGAAGUAUGUACUGCCUAGAAAUCAAAAAGUGACUGACCUGCUGCAACUCGCCUCGCGAGAAUAUGCUCGCUAUGGCGAGCAAUUUGGUGGUCAAUGCAGUUCAAAGGCAUGAAACACUUGCCAUGGCGAGUAUGUGCUCGCCUAGCGAGUCAUGACAGUUUCAGAAAAUGAAUUUUGACUUCUGCUUUUACUUUUGUGGGUGCAAUGUGAUCUAUACCUCUAAAUUGCAAAAAUAAAGCAUGAAAAACUUAAACAAGGUUGGGUUGCCUCCCAACAAGCUCUUGUUUAAUGUCGUUAGCUCGACACCUUUUUUGUUAGGGUGGCCGAAAUGAAACGGAAAACACAUCAUCUUUUGGAAUCAUGCGCUUUGGGAGGAAUUCCAUGAACUUUAGGUACAACUGAUGCGGAGUCCAUAUCCUCCCUAACUUUGGUUUGUUGAACAAGGCACAUAUCUCAUCUAUGACCCGAUCAAUCUCCACCUUGUUCACUUUCUUCCCCUUUCCUUCCAUUGAUUCUUCCUUGCUUAGUAUCCGUUCCUUUUUCUCUGUCCCCUGCAUCACUUCUUCAUUUUCAACAGUUUCGACCUCUUCAGUAUAUGGCCGUUCUUGAGGAAAUUCUUCUUUAUGUGAUGUGUCUAUUUCUUGUGCAGUUUCAAAUUCACCACAUCCUUCCAUUGUUGUGCCUUCCUCAGUUUGAUCAACUCCUUCCUCAACAAUCUCACUGAAUUCCUCAUUCUCAGUUGAAACAUCUUCGUGCUUUUCAUGAAGGAAUCAAUUGCUGAUUUGAACAUCUAUGUCUGAAAGUUGCAACUGGAUUUUCUCCAUUCGGCAUGAUAAAUUUUUCAAUCUUUGGUUAGUAUCUUGCAUGUUUAUCAUGGAUUUCUCCAUGAACAGAUUCAAAAUAUUUUUCAUCUUUGAUAUUUGUUCAUCUUCAGAAAGAUGUUGUUGAUACUGUUGAUAUGAUUCAUACUCGAAUGGAGUGUAGAAGUUGUUAUAACUAUGAUUAGCCAUGAUUUCGUUUAUGUGACAAACCUGAAACGGAAACAACUAACAAGAAACUUUUCUUUGUAUACCAAAGAAGGGUUAGUGCAAACAACUAUAUGUGCUCCCCGAUUUUCGGAUAUCAAACCAUUGAUUGAUUUGAAUCGUCAAUCUUUGAACUCUCAAUUUUUAUUCGUGGGAAGGGAAAAAAUGAGUAAAAACCCUUAUCGAGACUUUGGAUUCGGGGGUUGGUUUCGAAUAGGGAAGGUGUUAAGCACCCUAAACGACUUCGGUACUCCGAAGGAACCGCUUACCUAGAUUAUCUUGUGCUAAAUUCAUUUGGCUUACUUGAAAAAUUAUUAUCUAAAAUCUAAGUGAAAGAAUGGAGGGAGAAGAAAUAUGUUUUUGGUUUUUUUUAUUUGAUUUGGAAGGACAAGUCCUCUACCUACGUACCCUUUUUUGGGAAAGGGAUCAAAACCGACGUAGUUCCACUCAAAAAUUUCUUUGGUGGGUUAGGUUGAUUUUAAGAUUUUUGAAAAUGGGUUUUAAGAAGAGAAAGAGGCCUCACGGCAUGAGAUAAAAGAAAUGAGUGAGGUUGAUUGAUUUUAAAUUUUGAAAAUGAUUGAAGUUGAAUUAAAAUUGAUUGAGAGUUUAAUUAAGAAAAUAAAGGAAAAAUGUUAUUAAGAAAAUGAUUUUGAAGUUUUGCAUAUUUGAUUUUUUGAGAAAAUGAUUUUUCUAAACUAACGGUGAAAACUAACGUAACGUCGUAGAAAAACGAGCGGAAAACGGUAAAUAAAUUGUGGUAGUGUCGGUGCAAGUGUCGGUGCUUGUGUUACCUACAUUAUUACAUCAAUUCUUAAAUACAACCCUAAGGCCUUUAUGCCAAAAUAAAAUGCAAGAAAUAAAACUUACAUCAAUUUCCUAUUUAUACACGCUAAGUCAAUGACAAAAUAAAAUGAUGAGAAAAUUAAAUGUGCAUGCUAUGAUUCAAAACAAAGAUUAAAUCGUUAGUGAGCAUAAGAAAAUAUUGAGAUGAAAUGAGCAAAAAUUAAAAUGAACAUGUGGAAACAAAUAAUAGACAAAAAAUUAAGAGAUGACAUGUAAAACUAGCAAGUAACAAAUAAAAAUAUCAUAUAUAAAGACACAAUAAGCAAGAAUUAAGAAACAAGGAAGGAAUGAGCCAAGAAAAAAAAAAAAGUAAAAUGGAUUUUAAGACUUGGAGGUUAAAAUGAUGGAAAAACAUUUUUUAGAAUUUUGAAGUGUUAAAAUAUCAAGAAAAUGGAGUAAAAGUAUAAAAAAAAUGAAAAGACAAAUAAAAACAAAGUUUGGCUCAGCAGGAUUAAUUCUGGACCGUUGGAUUAAUCCAGAGGUCCAGAUCUAAAUCCCAAGAUCUCAUCACAGCCAUUGGAUCAACGAUCCAAGGGUUAAAAAACAGAAAAACACUUAAAGGAAAGGAGUGCAUCAUCGGCCGUUAGAUCUACGAUCUAACGGCCUAGCAUUGAGCGCACAUGAUGAGGACGUAAGGUGCUAACGCACCAGAUAGAACAUAAUAGGAGCAGCAUAUAAAAGGAAGAAAACAAUGGAAGAAAACAUAACAAACUAAACCACACUUCUCUCUAAAAAAAUUGCUCACACUGCUCUCUAAAAAACAGAGUUGCAGCGCCGCCGCCUACUUCUUCUUCUCCGGCGAGAAAAGUUUUCCGGCGCGGUGGCCGGUGGUGGCACCACCACGCCGGAAUUUCAAACUCCUCUUUUCUAAAAAACUUUUAACAGUUUUGAAAUUCCUUUUUCGUUCUAGACUCAAAUCCGGAUUCACAAUUUCAAAAACAGUUCACAACAGACCUAGAUCUAACAAUGAAGAUUCGACAAAAACUACCUUCGGUUUCAAAACGGAGAAGACUAGAUCUACUACUUCAGGCUCGGAUCUACUUUCUUUUUGCUAAUUCCCUCCGAUCCGGUUCAGGCGCAUUCCUUUUGUGUUGGAGGAGAUUCGGUUUCCUUCUUCUUCUUCAUGUGACUCGGUUCACUACUUCUUUGAAACCGAUCCAGUUUAUAUGCAUGCCUGAGAAUUCCUUAGAAAACAAAUGAAGGUUUGAGUUCAAUGAGUUGUGUAUGUGUUUACGCUUGAGGCUUGGUGAAAGGAUACGAAAAUGAUUGUUAAAAGAAUGGUUCACAUGAUUUUCGAAUUUGAAAUAUUCAUGAAGUUCAUGAUUUUUUUUAUGGUUUUUUUGAGAGUUUGAUCUGAAAAUGUGGAGAGAGGAUAUGAAUUUAGUGUUUGUUACGGAUCUGUGGCAGUUUUGUGAUGUUUGGAUGAUGAUGAUUUAUGUGUUAGUGUGGAGUGAUUCGAGGUUGAUUCUCGAAAUUUUGCUGGAGAAUAUUGUUCAUGUUGUUCUUGACAUGUUCAUCUAUUUUUCAUUGAUUUUUGAUGAUUUGAUCCGAAAAAGUAGAAAGAGAGAAGGGAUUAGGGUUUGUGAACUUUUGUGGCUGCUGAUUGAUGUGUCAGUGUAAUAAUUUCUGUGCAGCCCCCUCUCUCCAAUGAUUGGACAGUGUACUUAUAGUGACAAAAUAGGGUUGGCUCUGGUACACAUCAAAGACCAAAAUACCCCUGUUGGAGACUUGGGGAUAAAGACUUAACAAAUAAAAAUAAUAAGAAACAAAAAACAGAAAAAUAAAAAAUGACAAAUAAAAUAAAAAUAAAAUAUUAAUUAAUAAUAAUAAAAAAAAAAAGUCCCUUCGAAAUCUGACAUGAGGUACUUCAAAGUAUCCUCCCUGCCGAAAUUUUGUCUGAAAUGAUUAAAAGGACGCGAUUUUUAAAAUAUGAUUAAACCUUUUAAAAUGACUUGAUUAUUAUGACUAACAAGACUAUAAAAUGCGCUCAAAAAGUUAUAAAAAUGCAGAUAAAAGUUUUUAAAUGAUUAAAGAAGAAAAACACGAGUUUUAAAUGGUAAAAAAAACAAAUAGAAGAGAAUGUGGACUAUUUUAAAAUAUGGACAAAAAAGAUUUUAAAUGGUCCAAAUUUGGGGUAUGACACUAUACAAAAGAGAAAAUUAUAUACAAAUUAUAUACAAAUACUCAAAACAAUACAAAUUGUCACAAUGCUUCAAAUAUCGAAACGCCAGUCCCCUGCAGCGGCGCCAUUUUGAUGUAGUAUCAAAAGUAAGUAUUUUUGUUAUCAUCUCCACAGGAAUUGGUGCGAUAUUCUAAGCCGUUCAACAAUCGGUAUCGUUCUAAGCUACAGAUUCGACAUUGUUUUGUUUCAUGAACCAUAAAACUACAGACUUGUAAGAGAUAUGAGAGUUAACAGGGAAAUGAUUAUGUUGGGAUUAAACUUCAUCAACCUAGAUAUACGUAUUCUAGGAUUAGUGUUGCGGAUUCUAAUUAUCAAUUGAUAUUAUCAAAUAUUGCUCAACAACAUCAUUCGUGUCCAAAUGAUGUCGUGAUUUCUAUUGAGUCGUCUAAUCGUCGAUUUCCCAAACUAUUAAACUUUCCAAUAGUCGAUUGUAUCGUUGUAUAGUUGAUUUUUCAAAUUAUACAAUGAUACGAAAGCUUUAAGUUCCAAUAUUCAAAGUGAUUAUCAAACCUAAGUUCCAUGUCUAGAACCUAAGCAUUGAUAGAAGAUUAUUCUCAACUAGAUUCAAAAUGUAUUUUCAAUAACAAUUUAAAUCCAUAGGAUAGAAAUGAAAAGCAAGAAUAACAUCAAUAUCUUAAGAUAAUUUAGAAUCACAAAACAUCCAAAUCAAAGGGAAUACAUACUAAUAGAGUUAACUACAUUUAAUCCCAACAAAAAGAGUUUAGCUACUCAUUGUCAUGGUAACCUUACAAGGAGAAAAGAAGAGAUGGAAUGGAAGCAAGCCAUUAUGUCUCAAUGAUCUUGUGAAUCCUUUCAAUCCUUGUGCCCUUUGCUCAUUGAAGUUCUCUCUGUGUUUCCCCUGUUUUCUCUCUUCCUAAAGUGGCUUAUGUUCUGAUUAUUCUGUCUGAAAUGAAGGAAAUGAGCUUUUAUACAUAUGCUGAAAAAGUGACAUUUCGCCUGGCGAAGUUUGGCUCGCCAUGGCGACUUGAGCUUACAUUGCUAGUGGGUUUCUGCCACAUCACUUUGAUGAGAUAAAACCGCUUUUUUUUCGUCUGGCAGAAUUUCUGCUCUAUAUAGCGAAGUACUUUUGUCCUGUUUUUCCAACUCUAUGGAACUGCUCGCCAUUUGGCUCGCCCUUGUCUCGCCUGGCAAAAUAUUUCGCCUGGCAGGAUUGCUACUUGCCAUGGCGAAGUAGCUUUUGCCGCUUUUGUUCUUUUUGGUCCUUGCUUGAUGUUUUGGCACUCAAUUCCGGCACAAAUGGGUAGAGUAAGAUGAAUAAAGCAUAACAGGUCAAUAAUCACUUUUCUCUCGACUUUUCCCUGAAUAACUUGUGAAACAAGUAACAAACGUGCCGUAAAUAAUCAUUUGAAAUACUAUUUUCUGGUACUUAUCAAUUACAAUUGCUCAAGCACACAAGCAAGAGACUUUAAAUGCUCGAUCGUACAAGAAAGAGACUUCCAAUGCUCAAACACACUAGUAAGAGACUUCUACAAUCGAACUUAAUCAAAUAAAAGAUUUUAUGUGAUUUACACUUGAUGUACAAUCAGAGGUGUAAGCAAUACAUAACAUAAUGAACUCUUAAAACUUAAGAAUUUCUAUGAUAUAAAGUUUCUAAGAAAUUCUAAGUACAAAUGCGCUUUUGAUUUUGACAGAGUAAGGACAAUUUCAAAAUAUGCAAAGUCUUGUUAAUUUCUUCAAGUCUUCAGCUCCUUAUACAGAGGGAAAUCCAAGAGAUGUUGGAGAGGUGCCAAUGCAUUACUUUGAGUCCUUGAGAAACUUGAUCAUAGAUGUUGGAAUUUUUCUUGAUUUGGAUAAUGUCGUUUAAAAUUUUUUGAAAAUCCUUGGCAACAAACAGAAUCAUCUAUUUCACUCCAAUUGUCCUUGAAGUUCUUUGUCUAUUUCUGCACGUGAUCAAAAGAGGACAAAAUAUACUAUCUGAGUCUGAUAGUGAUCUCUUCAGGUUCUCUUCAAAUUUCAAAUGCUCUUAUAUAAGUUCUUUUAGUACCAAACUCUAUUUAAUACAUAGAAUUUCAAUUUAUGGUCUUGCACACUUGAACAUAUAUUAGCAUAUCUAGUUCUUCUUUUAAUACCUUGUUAUCAUCAAAACUUCGAAAACAUUGUGCAAAACCCAUUUUGCUUUAACAAAGAUGGUGGAGCGCAUCAGCACUAUAGUAGUAAUGAGGUGGUAGAAAGCUAUUAUCCCUACUUGUACAUCAUUCUGAGAUGUUAUGCAUGCGCUACACCACGUAGCCUAACGAGGUGGUCACAUUGAUAGACUUUGACUUGAACCAUUUAUUAAGCCUUUGAUUCAUGUUCUUAACGAGCUUUAAUAUUGGGUGAUCCAAAUGAUAAUUGGACCGGGUCUUUUAACCUUGUACCGUUAUAAUAUAAUGAAUAUACAAGUUACAAGCACUUAUAUAAGUGACUUUAUAAAUAGACUAUUACUUUUUUCACCCUAUCGAUUUCCCGUGCCCCUUUUUUUUACGAAAAAUGUCCAUGAGAUUUUCAGAUUCUAUAAUCCGAAAUGAGUUUUCCCCUUAUUUUAGGGUGGAAAAAUGAGUUUUUCACCAAUUCGGAUUUUGUAAUCCAAACACCCUAAAAAAUAUGGCACGUUCCUUGCUUUUUUAGCACUAUAGAAUUCCAACACCCCUUUUGUACCAAGAAUUCAAGGGAAAAGUAGUUUGGAUUAAUCCAAACCGUAUCAACACAAAUACUCAACCUGUUUGACAUGUUGUAUCAUUUUUUACUCUGUUUUUUUGGUUGAGUUUAAAAUCGAAAUUCACAACCAUUGAAAUGAGAGAGAUUUUGAUUGUUGCUUAUUUAUAUAAGCAUAUAUAUUUCGAAUUCUAUAAUCCAAACACAUGAGUAUACAAUCUAAAACCCCAUGAGUAUUUUUAUAAAAAAUAAAUCAAUAGGACAUCUGAGAAUGUAAUUAAUAGGUUGUAUAUAAAUGAGUUGGAUACGUUCGACUCGAUUGUUACAAAAUUGGGCAUGACCCAAAAAUUAGUGGGUCAACCCAACCCAUAUUUCAAUACUAUCAUUUAAAAAAUGUUUGAAAAUUGCUUUUCUCCCUUCAAGAAUGUCCUAAUAAUACAUGGGAAAUUCUAAAAUGCCACCAGCGGUAGUUAACUGAUGUUACGUUUUACCCCAAAAACCAGUACAUGCCUACUUCCCUAUUCACUCAUCACCUUACCUAAAAAAAUCCCCCAUUAAUUUUUUUUUGUUGAAACAUUGAUUCCAAAUCUUUGUUGACGGAUUGCUAGCUCGUUUCUACAGACAUUUGACAUCAAAAAUAGGUAUUGCAACGUUAAACUCGUUUCCAUUUGAUUGAGUUUCCAGUUUUUUUUUCCUGACAUGCAGCUUAGCGGUAGUUAACUACCGCUCAGGUUGAAGAACCAGCUGCAGUUAACUAACGCCUAGGACUUAGAAAAAAAAUUCAAAAAAAAGUGCUACUCCCUAUUUUAUUUUUUAUUUUUUUGGUUUGUUUAUGUUCUUAAAUUAUGUAAGAUACAUGUUAAUUAAUUAUUUUAGCAAUUAUAUGUUGUUUAUUUAUAGAUAUGGUUGAGAAUGCGGGUGAUCGAAAACCUAGUGUUGUCGAGAUCAAACCGCCGAAACAUGAAGUUUCCGUUAAGGUUGCAGUUUCCGUUAAAGUGGAGGCUACAAGUGUCAAUGCCGGUGUGUGGAAACUUCGUGACAACGAAGUGGACACGACUCAUUUCUUUUCGAGCCGAGAGACAUGGAAAGAUAAAGAUGAAUUGAUCGGUUGGGUACGUCGACAAGCAAAUAAAGCUGGAUUUACGAUUACCAUUAAAAGAUCUUGUGCAGUUAGCAAUCAUAUAUUGGAGUUGGUUUGUGAAAGUAGUGGCGAGCAGAAAGUAUCGAAGAAAAAAGUGAAGCAUGAAGCAACGAGAUCAAGAAAAUAUGAGUGUUUGUUCAAGGUGCGUGGAUAUGUCGUCAGGGAAGACAAUGCUUGGAAAUUGGCUAUUCUUUAUGGUGUUCACAACCACGAGAUGGUGCCGUUUUUAGCAGGGCACCUUCUUGCGGGAAGAUUAAUGGAGGACGACAAGAAAAUUAUACAUGACUUGACCAAUAGUUCGGUGAAACCAAAAAAUAUUUUGACAAAUUUGAAGAAGAAAAGACAAGAGUCUAUGACAAAUAUCAAGUAAGUCUACAAUGAACGUCAUAAAUUCAAAAAGGCAAAAAGGGGUGACUUAACGGAGAUGCAAUUUCUAAUCUCAAAGACUGUUUUGAUAAUGGAUUCCACGUAUAAAACCAACUUGUACAAGAUGCCACUGUUUUUAAUAGUCGGAGUCACCUCAACCUAUUUGACAUAUUAGGUUGGUUUUGCAUUUAUAACGUUGGAGAAGGAGAAUAACUUUAAUUGGGUUUUACAAAUGUUGCUUAAACUUCUUAAACCAAAUAGUGAUAUGCCUAAGGUGGUAGUGACUGAUUGGGACACGACUUUGGUGAAUGUCUAGCAAAUGUUCUUCCGAAUAGUAAUGCAAUACUUUGUUAUUUCCAUGUCGGGAAAUAUGUUAGAGCAAAAAUCAUCACCGAUUGUAAGUGAGACAAAAGGUUGUCAAAGAGGAUGGGCAAAAGAAGCUUGUCGGCGAGGUGAAGCAUAUUGAGAUAGUUGGAAUUGCAAGAGUUAUAUGCAAGUAAUCUAAUGGAAUUGCAAGAUGCUUGUAAGAAUUAUCCAAAGUUUCUUCCUUAUGUUCAAACUACCAUUUUGGAUACUGUGAAGGACAAAAUAGUGAGAGCAUGGACAGACUUUCUGUUACAUCUUGGGUGCAGGACCACAAAUAGAGUUGAAAGAGCACAUGGUAGAGUGAAGGAAUAUGUGUCCACUUCCAAGGGUGAUUUGGGUACUUGUUGGGAAAAAAUAGAUGAGAUGUUGGUAAUCCAGCUUGGGAAGAUACAAUCAUCGUUUGGUAGGAGCAUUACGGUCUUGGAACAUAGAUACAAAGAUGUCAAUUUCUACUCUGGGUUGGGGGGUAACAUGUCUAGAUAAGCCAUGAACUAUAUUUUUGUGGAAGAAGAGCGUGCUAGCAAAACCUUGUGCAUGAACAAGAAAACUUGUUGUUGUGGUUAAAGGACGUCGUAUGGCCUACCUUAUGCAUGCUUCAUUGCUAUAAAAAUCCGUCACAAAAAGCCUAUUCGAUUGGAUGAGAUACACCCGCAUUGACAUAAGUUAUAUAUGGGUGAAGAAAAAAGUAAUGAAAAAUUGUUUUCGAUCGCGGAGGAGUAGAGUGGUAUUCAAGAACAUCUCAAAAGAGUUCCGUACCAAAUGAAACUAAAAAUCAAAGAGGGGUUGCCAACGUUUCCAGAGACCACAAUGUUGUCACCACCUACAAAAAAGAUACCAACCAAAAGAGCAAAGAAGAAAAAUAAAAUCUACACUGAAAUCGACACGGAAAAAAUCUCCAAUCAACAUGUCCGGGAAACUAAGGUUAGAAUUAAACCUUUAUACUCAGUUGACCAAUUAAAUCGACGUCAAGCGACUAGUAUAAUUUCAAUUUUAGAGAAAUUAAGUGGAAAUAAUACAACGUGAUUUGAUUAUAAUUGUUAAUGUGACUAAUAUUUUUCAAAUAGAGGGAGUUGCGUACAACGCGAGGAAUGGUAAUUUAUUUUAUAAAUGGUUAGUAUAUGUCGCAAUCAACAAAGUCAAAGACUACUCUGAAAAAAAAAAGUCAAAGACAAUUUCCUCAAAAAAAAAAACAACAAAGUCAAAGACAAUUAAAAUUUGAAAGAUUAUAUGGAAUCUGAAAAUCCAAACUAAUUAGAUGUAGACAUGACAAAGCGACCCGCUCCGUUUAGACCAGCCAAAACGAGACAUGACAAAGUGAGCAGCACGAAAUGGACGAGUCAAUUUAAGUGACUAAGUCAAAAGUUUCACCCACCCCGCAUUGGGCGGAUUGACGAGAUGGUAGGCCGGUCUAUCAAACAAAAAAAGAAUUUACUUUUAUUUCAUUUUUGGGUUAACAACGUUUUACCUUUGUAAUAUAGGUCAUUUUCAGUUUCCCUCCGUAAGCAAAAAUUUUAUAUUUCAUCCUUAUAAUUUGAAGAUUAUUUGGUUUUAGAUCCUCAAGACAGUUGACUAAACAUUUAGGCUUAUGUUACGCAUUGAGUCAACAUUUUUUGAUUAUGCGACACGUUGACUAUGUAAUUAUUAAUUUUUUAAAAUUUAUUUUAAAUCAAAAAUAAAAAUAAAUUUAAAAAACAAGAAAAUUUAUUUUCGAAAAUAAUAAAAUUAGAUAAAAAAAUUCUAUAACUUAAUUUUCAAAAUAAAAAAAAUUAGAAAAUAUAUUUCAAAAAUUAGAAAAACAAAUUCGAAAUUAAAAAAAAAAAGUUCAAUUUUUUUUUUCCGAAAUAAAAAAGUUUUUCUAACUUAUCAUCAUAUUUUUCAUGAAAAUAUAUCUUCAAGGUUUUUUAUAUUUUUAACAAUUUGAUUAUUGUAAAAAAUAGGCUAUGUUAUUUAUAAAAAUAAAAUUGGUAGCAAAUCAAUUCGUGGUAAAACAAAAUUUUAUGAUGUAAAAUUGGAUUAUAACAAGUUAUUUGGUCGCUUCACUUUAAAUUAUGUCUAACCCAUUGAUAAAAUAAAAAUAAAAAUUGUAAGUUGAUGAGUUGACGGACUGGCCCGUCCCAUCCUUGCCCCGCCCUACUUUUUCAACAGUCAAGCAGGACGAGCCAACUAGAAGCGGCGAAUUCAAAACUCCAACACAACCCGCCAAAAAUAGUAGGCUAAAUGGGCCGGUUUGGCAGGUUGGACCCGUUUUGCCUUCCGUGUGGCAAUUGCUUUAUUUCCAGUCCAUUCAAAAUCGGGAUGCUUAGUGAGUUAGCAGACUCAAAACGACAAUGAUCGAUGAGUCAGACUCAGAACAAUGAUGAUCUAUGAGUUAGACUGAGAACAAUUUUCUUUUUCUAAUUUUUUUCCAUUAGGUCAUGUAUUUUUUAUUUAAGGCUAAAAUAUGGUUUUAGUCCCUGCAAAUAUGCCUCGUUUUGGUUUUAGUCCCUGUAAAAAAAAAUUGUUUUUGGUCCCUGCAAAGUUUUUGUUUUUUAAAAUAGUCCCUCAGGUACUAUUUUAAAAAACAAAAAAAUUUGCAGGGACCUUUUUAAAAAAUAAAAUAUUUUGCUGGGACCAAAAACUACAAAAUCGGUUCAGUCAUCAUGUGCCACGUAUGCAAAUCAUCACAAAAAUGGGGUCAGGGACUAUUUUAAAAAACAAAAAAUUUUGCAGGGACCAAAAACAAUUGUUUUUUUACAGGGACUAAAACCAAAACGAGACAUAUUUGCAGGGAGUAAAACCAUAUUUUAGCCUUAAAUAAAUACACAAUAUUUUAGGUCCCAAUGUUUCUUAGUUUUGAGGCCCAUCCUCAAUACUUUCCCUUCUCCCUCCAAUUCAACCAAACUCUCGUCCACCUAUUAGGUCAUGUAUUUUUAAAUUGAAACACAAUAUUUUAACAGUAAGCUAUGACAUAAUCAAUGUGUUGCUAUUAGACUCUGAAUCAGUUUGUCAUCUUUUGAAGGAAUGUCACUAUCAGAUUCAAGGUAGUAGAGUUUGUCUUCUUCUGACCACGUGCAGGAAAAAAAGGAAUUUAAGGACAACGAAAAUGUAACGGAUCAUAUUAUUAAGAGCAAAGAAAUUUCGAAUGACUACAAAACGACAUUAACCAUUCGAGGCAACAAAACUCAAGGUGAAAAAAUCUUACAAACUCUUAGAUAUAAUCUUACAAACUUUCAGAUCUAGAAUUUCUUAAGCUUCAGAAGUCAUCUGAACCUUAAUUGCUUACACCUUUGAUUGUACGUGAUGUGUGAAGGUGAAAAAAACACAAGGCGGGAUUGAAUUGGUUGGGUUUUUUCUGAUUUAGAGAGAGAGAGAGAGAGAGAGAGAGAGAGAGAGAGGGGGGGAGGGAGGGAGGUCACAAAGCAUUUAUACUGGUUCCUCCUACAAUCUAAGAGUAGUCCAGUUCCCCUACACUUUCAAGGGACUUCCAAAUGUUCAAGCACACAAGCAAGUGACUUCCAAAUGCUCAGUCACAACUGAAAGAGACUUCUAAGAGUUUACAAAUAAACAAAGUUGUUCUCACACUUGAUAUACAAUCAGAGGUGUAAACAAUUAAAUACAUAUAAGACUUUAUGAAAUUAUAAUUUCUAACAUAUGAACUUAGUAAGAAAUUCUUAAGUGUUCUAUGUGCUUUUGAAUUUAACAGAGUAAGGGCACAAUUUAAAAUAGCAGAGUCAUGUUAUUAUUCUUCAAGUCUUCAACUCCUUAUAUAGGCAAGGAUUUGAGAGACGAUGCCAGCGCAUUGAGAGUCGUUGAGAAGUUUCAAAUCAAGGACGUUAGGUCUUUGCCUGAUAAGGAUAAUGUCGUGGAUUAUUCAUUUGAAAUUCCUUUUGCUGCAACUAGAAUUAUCUGUUCGUUCUCUUUGUACUUGAAGUUCUUUGUUUUUUUACACGUGGUCAGAGGAAGACAAACUGUACUUUCAGAGUCUUGAUAAAGACUGCUACAUAAGAGGACAAAUUUGACGAGGAUUCUAGGUCCCUAAGGGUCUUCUAUUCUUCAGAGUUUGGAGGUUUUCAGAGUCUGAUGUAGAUCUUUAACUUCUGAGUGUUUUCCUUUCUAUUGAUCCAAGGUGUUGACUUCUGGUUGACAUUUCUUUAGAUCUUCUACCAUAGUCUUUUGGCUUCUCUUUGUGCUUCUGAUGCUCUUAUACAUGUUCAGACCUUGUUAAAUUUUAAUAUAUGGUCCUGCACACUUGAACAUAUAUUAACAUAUCCAGUUGUUUUUCAAUACUUUGUUAUCAUCAAUACUUCAAAGGAUUUGUGUUUGAUUUUAAUAUGUUGCUUAAUUAUAUGUUUCAGACUCUGAAAAUGACUAUGUUCUGUUUUUACAAACACUUAAAAAUAGAUUUGAAAAAAGCAAUAUAAUUCAACCCCUUUUCUUAUGUUUUUCUCACUUUUAAAUUUAGAGUUUUUCUAUUUACACCCCAUGUUUUUCUGGUUACACCUAAAUUUUCUUAAUUUUUUUUAUAAUACCAAAAUUGCCCUUUAUAUAAAUUUUCUUAAAACCCUAAUUUUAUUCAUUGUCAGUGAGUUUCACCCUCUUUUACCCCACAAAGCGAUUGAUCAAACAAUUUGAUGUUCAAUAUCAAUCUCCAUGAAAAUUAAAGAGUGAAUCAAAAUAUUUUUCAUCCAUACUCAAUUGGAUAUAAGUAAGUGAAUUUCUUCUUCUAUUUGCUAGUUUCAAUUCUUUUCCUUCAACUGCAAUGAUGCACUGUACGAUUACGGUUUUAAUUUACAUUGGCAAGGUUAACUUAAAUUCAGUUUAAGUAGGUUCAUGUAAACUAAGUUUACAUGAACCUACUUAAACUGAGUUUACAUAAACCUACUUAAAUUGAGUUAACAUGAACUUACUUAAACUGAGUUUACAUGAACCUACUUAAACUGAGUUUACAUGAACCUACUUAAACUGAGUUUAGAAAAUCGCAGAACUCGCAGAACAAGGAAAACACAAAAUCAGAACUGAGAACCCAUAACAAGAAAAACACAAUCGAUUGAAGAACAACACUUGCUAACCUGAUUUGCUUCGAAUUUUCUUUGAAAUCAUGAAUGGACGUGAGAAAGUAUGGUUUUGAAAAUCUUCGCAGAACACAAUGAAUCGAUUGGAGAAUUAUGGUUUUGGAAGAAAGGUUUUGGGGUGUAACCAAAAAAGAAGGAAUAGGCUUUUUGAAAAUCAAAUUUUAUGAAAGGGUAAUCUUGUCAUUUUAGGGUGCAACCAUGAUUAACUAGGGUGCAAGUAGAAAAACUCUUAAAUUUAUCCUUUGGAUAAAUAAAACGUUAAUUUAUUCUAGUUUUUCAAUGUGAACAUCAAUUACUUAAAGAAUGAACAUUAAUUGUUUUAUUUUUGGUCAAGAAAAAGAACUUUAAUUUAUUCUUGCAUUUCAAUGUGAACAUCAAUUACUUAACAAUAGAUUAUAUGUCCAAUUGACCAAUUAAAUCGCCAUCACGUUAUAUUUUCAGAGAAAUUAAGUUGGAAAGAUACGACAUGAUUUGAUCAUAAUUGUUAAUGUCACUGACUUCUAGAACUGUUAAUGUCACUAAUAUUUUUAAAACUGAGGGAGUUGCGUACAAAAGCGUGAGAGGGUAAUUCUUUAUGAUUCAUUUCCAGUCCAUUCAAAAUAGGAUUCUAAACACAAGCUUAGAAUUUGACUCAUCUGAUUUUUCACUUUUCAAUACAAAGCACUAAACUACAGCUUUUCAUCCUUUUUCUAGAUUCAGAUUUCGAAACCAGGUAAUCUCUCGUUCUCUUGUAUUCUUAUGAUAAUUAGAAGAUUCAACUUGCAACCUGUAUUUACUAUUUAGAAUCAAAAUUUUGCUUGCUCAUUUCCAACACACAUACUGCAAUCAAAAUUUCUUUAUGCAAUUCUAAAUUAGGUUACUUAAAUAGUUUUUAUUCUUGUUCGAAUCUGCAAAAUAGUACAAAUCCUGUUCUUUUUAUGUGUCGGUUUAAAAAACUUUUUUAUCCCCUAAGUUAAUAUUCCAUCCAGUCUUAAAUGUUAGGAAAAAAAAAAAAACCACACAUAUUAAGAAAGUGGACUAACAAUAUUGAAGUCAUCAUAAAACAUUAUAACUUUCCAAUUUUGCCUUUAUCUUCGGAUUUUAUAUUUAAGUCAUGAACGUGACUUUUGAACUCAACAUGGGAAUGUGAAACAGAUUGGAAAUAAAUAAAUGAGGGUAAAAUUGAAAUAGUGACAUUUAAUAGGAUGAUUUAAUUAAACUUUUCAUUACAUUUGAGUCCACCAAUUUUUUUAUUUUGUUUCUUACAUUCGAGAUCGGAGGGAGUAGUUGUGUCCGGUUCGGUCUGAUAUUUGGAUCGGUUGUGCAGUUGAAUCGGUCAGAUCCGGCGUGACUCGCUAAAACUCGGAAUAAAUUGGUGGCUUGGCCGGUUUAGCGAACCGGACCAGGUCAAUACACAACUUGAUUUCAAUUGAUAAAAAAAACCAGAAAGUGAGAAAAGUGAGAAAGAUUAUCGUACAGAAGAGAAGAUCUCACGAUGGAAGGGAGGAAGAUGUGAGAAGGAAAGAACAAGGAUUGAAGAUCAAAUAUGCUAUGUGUUUUUUUAUUUGAGAUCUACUUUUUAGAUGAAUGCUGCAGUACAAGUCACUAAAGUGUAGUACAAUACAUAUCUGUAGUACAAUAGACUUGUGUAUAUAUUACUAAUUAUACUCUCAUUCACAAAUCAAUAGAAAAUCCAUUCAUUUCUCUUAUUUCAUAUUAGGUUUCAAUUUGCUAACUGCAUUGACUGAGUGAUUUUUAUUCCAUUAAUUAAAAAUAGGAGACCAUUUAAAAAAUUGAUCACUUACGUGACCCCAAGAUUAGUUUUACUCAUGCUUUUGUUAACUUCAUUUGCCAAAGGAUGGAAGCCCUUGCUGUUACAAUCUUGGAAAAGUUGAGCUCUGCAGCUUACAAAGAGCUCGGAAUCAUUUGGAAUUUCAAAGAGGAUAUGGAACGAAUGAAGAACACAGUCUCCAUGAUAAAAGCCGUGCUUCUCGAUGCAGAGUCCAAGGCCAAUAAUCAUCAAGUUAGUAAUUGGUUGGAGAAGCUGAAAGAUGUACUUUAUGAUGCAGAUGAUUUACUAGAUGAUUUUUCCAUUGAAGCUUUGAGAAGAAAAGUAAUGGCUGGAAACAACAGAGUAAGACGUACAAAAGCUUUCUUCUCAAAAUCAAACAAAAUUGCCCAUGGCCUUAAAUUGGGCCGUCGAAUGAAAGCAAUCCAAAAGAGGCUAGAUGACAUUGCUAACAAUAAGCAUGCACUGCAACUGAAUGACCGCCCUAUGGAGAAUCCAAUUGUAUAUAGGGAACAGAGACAAACUUACUCUUUCGUAAGUACAGAUGAAGUUAUUGGAAGAAAUGAGGAAAAGAAAUGUAUUAAAAGUUAUCUACUAGAUGACAAUGCAACAAAUAAUGUUUCUAUAGUUCCCAUAGUUGGCAUUGGAGGAUUAGGUAAGACUGCACUUGCUCAACUAGUCUACAAUGAUAAUGAUGUUCAAAAGCAUUUUGAGCUAAAAAUGUGGGUGUAUGUCUCGGAUGAAUUUGAUUUGAAGAAAAUAUCUCGGGAUAUCAUUGGGGAUGAAAAGAAUAGUCAAAUGGAGCAAGUACAACAACAACUUAGAAACAAAAUUGAAGGGAAAAAGUUUUUGCUUGUGUUAGAUGACGUGUGGAAUGAGGAUCAUGAGUUGUGGCUUAAAUUGAAGAGCAUGUUCAUGGAAGGUGGAAAAGGAAGUAUGAUAAUUGUUACAACGCGUAGUCAGACUGUGGCAAAAAUAACAGGCACACAUCCACCCC
rnacentral:lncRNA from 1 species